GGUCUCGAUCUCCUGACCUCGUGAUCCACCCACCUCGGCCUCCCAAAGUGCUAGGAUUACAGGUGUGAGCCACCGCGCCCAGAGAAAUUAAAAAAACUUUUGUGCAUCAAAUGACACUAUCAAGAGAGUGAAAAGACAACUGGAUAAUUGGAGAAGAUAUCUGCAAAUCAUAUAUCUGAAAAGGAAUGAAUAUCCAAAAUAUAUACAGAACUCCUACCACACAGUGACAACAAAAACCAACCCAAUUAAAAUAUGAGUAAAGAGACUGAAUGUUUCUCCAAAGAAUACAUACAAAUGACCAAAAAGCACAUGAAAAGAUGCUCAACAUCAUUUGUCAUUAUGGAAAUGCAAACCAAAACCACAAUGAGAUGCCACUUUACCCCCAUUAGGAUAGUUUUUUUGUUGUUGCUUUUAUAUAUUUUUUGAGACAGGAUCUCACUCUGUCACACAGGCUGGAGUGCAGUGGUGCAAUCUCAGCUCACUGAAACCUCUGCCUCCCAGGUUUAAGUGAUUCUCAUGUCUCAGCUUCCUAAGUAACUGGGAUUUUAUUUUUUUAUUUAUUUUUAUUUUUAUUUUUUUUUGGUGACAGAAUCUCACUCUGUUGCCCAGGCUGGAGAGCAGUGACACGAUCUCGGCUCAGUACAACCUCUGCCUCCCAGGUUCAAGCGAUUCUCCUGCCUCAGACUCCCGAGUAGCUGGAAUUACAGGUGCAUGCCACCACACCCAGUUAAUUUUUGCAUUUUUAGUAGAGAUGGGGUUUCACCAUGUUGGCCAGCUGGUCUCAAACUCUUGACCUCAGAUGAUCUACCCACCUCUGCUUCCCAAAGUGCUGGGAUUACAGGCGUGAGCCACUGCACCCAGCCAAAUUUUUAAAUUUUCUAAAAACAUCGUUUCAUCCUUAUCUCAUCCUUUUUUAUAUUUCUACUUUAUAUAUAUUCUAUGAUUCACAUAAUAGCACAGUGGUAUAUGUCCAAAAUGUAUAAGUAAAUGCAGUGUACCUAUGUUGGAGGCAUGUACUCAAACAUUUUCUCCUGAUGUGAUGUGUGAUCAAAAGAGUUUAAAGAUUUUCGUCUAUAGUAUAAAUAAUACAUGUUUGGGGUAGUCCAUAAUAGAAGAGUGGUGUGAGUUGUGCGAAAGAAUUAAAAUUUGGCCACGCACAGUGGCUUAUGCCUGUAAUCCCAGCACUUUGGGAAGCCAAGGCAGGAGGAAUCCUUGAGCUCACGAGUUCGAGAUCAGCCUGGGUAACAACAAGACCUCAUCUCUACUAAAAGAAAAAAAAAAAUUAGCCGGGCACAUGUGGUACACAUGUCAGUAGACCUAGCUACUCAGGAGGCUGAAGUGGGAGGAUCUUUUGAGCCUGGGAGAUUGAAGCUGCAGUGAGCCACAAUUGUGCCACUGCACUCCAGCCUGGCAACAAUAUGAGACCCUGUCUCAAUAAAUAAAUAAAUACAUAAAUAAAUAUUUGACCUAGUCCUUCAAAGAUGUAUAAAAUAUGAACAAGCAGUGAGUAGAGGGAAGGGUAUUCCAAGCAGAAGAACCCAUAUGAACAAAAGUUUAGGAGAGGGAAAAAAAUACAACAGAUUUGGAGAUAGUGAGACUACCUUGGCUGAAACUGAGUUUGUGCUACAAAGUAAUGAGAGAGAAAACAGGAGAGGUAAGACAGGGCCAGUUUUACAGGUUCUUAAAUAAUCAAACAGUUUGAAUUUAAAGAAUUUGGGCAGAAUCACGUCAUUGUCAGGACCCCGGCUUUGGAGACAAACAGAACUGAGUCAAAUCCCAGCUCUAUAACCUACUACCUGUGCAAACUUAGGCAGGUGACGUCACCUGAGCGUCAGUUUCUUCAUCCAUAUGAAGAUGACGAUAAGAAUGAGGAUGAUGAGGUGGCUGUACAGUUCUCAUCACACUGCCUGGCAAACAGUUCAGUGCUUAACACAUAUUAGCUAUUUUUAUUAUUAUUCAAUAGGUAAUGGGAAGCCAUUGUGACAUUUUGUAUGGGGGGAAGAAAGUGAAAAUGAUGUUUUUUUUGUUUUGUUUUUGUUUUUUGUUUUUUUUUUUAUUGAUCAUUCUUGCGUGUUUCUCGCAGAGGGGGAUUUGGCAGGGUCUCAGGACAAUAGUGGAGGGAAGGUCAGCAGAUAAACAAGUGAACAAAGGUCUCUGGUUUUCCUAGGCAGAGGACCCUGCGGCCUUCCGCAGUGUUUGUGUCCCUGGGUACUUGAGAAUAGGGAGUGGUGAUGACUCUUAACGAGCACGCUGCCUUCAAGCAUCUGUUUAACAAAGCACAUCUUGCACCGCCCUUAAUCCAUUUAACCCUGAGUGGACACAGCACAUGUUUCAGAGAGCACAGGGUUGGGGGUAAGGUCACAGAUCUACAGGAUCCCAAGGCAGAAGAAUUCUUAGUACAGAACAAAAUGAAAAGUCUCCCAUGUCUACUUCUUUCUACACAGACACGGCAACCAUCCGAUUUCUCAAUCUUUUCCCCACCUUUCCCCCCUUUCUAUUCCACAAAACCGCCAUUGUCAUCAUGGCCCGUUCUCAAUGAGCUGUUGGGUACACCUCCCAGACGGGGCGGCUGGCCGGGCAGAGGGGCUCCUCACUUCCCAGUAGGGGCGGCCGGGCAGAGGCGCCCCUCACCUCCCGGACGAGGCGGCUGGCCGGGCG
rnacentral:lncRNA from 10 species